rnacentral:lncRNA from 1 species
AUUUAUUCAACUUCCUAAUGGUUCUCCACUACUUUAUAUAUCAAAAUCAAGCUUCUUACAUCGCAAUUCAUCCUGGUUCUAUUAGAAUGACAAAGAAGCUGUCAUAUUCCCAAACAGGAAAAGUGGGAUCACCUGAUUUGAAAAUUGGAUAGCUUCUUCAUCCUAACUCCUAUGAGAUUUAUUCAACUUCCUAGUGAUUCUCCAUUACUUUAUGUAUCAAAAUCAAGAUUCUUACAUCGCGAUUCAUCCUGGUUCUAUUAGAAUGAAAGAUUCUUACAUCUCGAUUCAUUCUGGUUUGAUUAGAAUGACAAAGAAGCUGUCAUAUUCCCAAACAAAAAAUUUGGGAUCACCUGAUUUGAAAGUGGGACAGCUUCUUCAUCCUAACUCCUAUGAGAUUUAUUCAACUUCCUAGUGAUUCUCCAUUACUUUAUGUAUCAAAAUCAAGAUUCUUACAUCGCGAUCCAUUCUGGUUCUAUUAGAAUUACAAGGAAGCUGUUAUAUUCCCAAACAGGAAAACUGAGAUCACCUGAUUUGAAAGUGGGAUAGCUUCUUCAUCCUAACUAUUAUGAGAUUUAUUCAACUUCCUAGUCAUUCUCCAUUACUUUAUGUAUCAAAAUCAAGCUUCUUACAUCGCGAUUCAUCCUGGUUCUAUUAGAAUGACAAGGAAGCUGUUAUAUUCCCAAAUAGGAAAACUGAGAUCACCUGAUUUGAAAGUGGGAUAGCUUCUUCAUCCUAACUCCUAUGAGAUUUAUUCAACUUCCUAGUGAUUCACCAUUACUUUAUGUACCAAAAUUAAGCUUCUUACAUUGCGAUUCAUCCUGGUUUGAUUAGAAUGACAAAGAAGCUGUCAUAUUCCCAAACAGGAAAAUUGGGAUCACCUGAUUUGAAAGUGGGACAGCUUCUUCAUCCUAACUCCUUUUAGAUUUAUUCAACUUCCCAGUGAUCCUCCAUUACUUUAUGUAUAAAAAUCAAGCUUCUUACAUCGCGAUUCAUCCUGGUUCUAUUAGAAUGACAAGGAAGCUGUUAUAUUCCCAAACAGGAAAACUGGGAUCACCUGAUUUGAAAGUGGGAUAACUUCUUCAUCCUAACUCCUAUGAGAUUUAUUCAACUUCCUAGUAAUUCCCCAUUACUUUAUAAAUCAAAAUCAAGCUUCUUACAUCGCGAUUCAUCCUGGUUUGAUUAGAAUGACAAAGAAGCUGUCAUAUUCCCAAACAGGAAAACUGGGAUCACCUGAUUUGAAAGUGGGAUAGCUUCUUCAUCCUAACUCCUAUGAGAUUUAUUCAGCUUCCUGAUGAUUCUCCACUACUUUAUGUAUCAAAAUCAAGCUUCUUACAUCGCGAUUCAUCCUGGUUCUAUUAGAAUGACAAGGAAACUGUUAUAUUCCCAAACAGGAAAACUGGGAUCACCUGAUUUGAAAGUGGGAUAGCUUCUAUAUCCUAACUCCUAUGAAAUUUAUUGAACUUCCUAGUGAUUCUCCAUUACUUUAUAUAUCAAAAUCAAGCUUCUUACAUCGCGAUUCAUCCUGGUUUGAUUAGAAUGACAAAGAAGCUGUCAUAUUCCCAAACAGGAAAAUUGGGAUCACCUGAUUUGAAAGUGGGACAGCUUCUUCAUCCUAACUCCUAUGAGAUUUAUUCAACUUCCUAGUGACUCUCCAUUACUUUAUGUAUCCAAAUCAAGCUUCUUACAUCGCGAUUCAUCCUGGUUUGAUUAGAAUGACAAAGAAGCUGUCAUAUUCCUAAACAGGAAAACUGGGAUCACCUGAUUUGAAAGUGGGAUAGCUUCUUCAUCCUAACUCCUAUGAGAUUUAUUCAACUUCCUAGUGAUUCUCCAUUACAUUAUGUAUCCAAAUCAAACUUCUUACAUCGCGAUUCAUCCUGGUUUGAUUAGAAUGACAAAGAAGCUGUCAUAUUCCCAAACAGAAAAACUGGGAUCACUUGAUUUGAAAGAGGGAUUGCUUCUUCAUCCUAACUCCUAUGAGAUUUAUUCAACUUCCUAGUGAUUCUUCAUUACUUUAUAUAUCAAAAUCAAGCUUCUUACAUCGCGAUUCAUCCUGGUUUGAUUAGAAUGACAAAGAAGAUGUCAUAUUCGCAAACAGGAAAACUGGGAUCACCUGAUUUGAAAGUGGGAUAGCUUCUUCAUCAUAACUCCUAUGAGAUUUAUUCAACUUCCUAGUGAUUCUCCAUUACUUUAUAUAUCAAAAUCAAGCUUAUUACAUCGCGAUUCAUCCCGGUUUGAUUAAAAUGACAAAGAAGCUGUCAUAUUCCCAAACAGGAAAAUUGGGAUCACCUGAUUUGAAAGUGGGACAGCUUCUUCAUCCUAACUCCUAUGCGAUUUAUUCAACUUCCUAGUUAUUCUCCAUUACUUUAUGUAUCAAAAUCAAGCUUCUUAGAUCUGGAUUCAUCCUGGUUUGAUUAGAAUGACAAGGAAGCUGUCAUAUUCCCAAACAGGAAAACUGGCAUCACCUGAUUUGAAAGUGGGAUAGCUUUUUCAUCCUAACUCCUAUGAGAGUUAUUCAACUUCCUAGUGAUUCUCCAUUACUUUAUGUAUCCAAAUCAAACUUCUUACAUCGCGAUUCAUUCUGGUUCGAUUAGAAUGACAAAGAAGCUGUCAUAUUCCUAAACAGAAAAACUGGGAUCACUUGAUUUGAAAGUGGGAUAGCUUCUUCAUCCUAACUCCUAUGAGAUUUAUUUAACUUCCUAGUGAUUCUCCAUUACUUUAUGUGUCAAAAUCAAGCUUCUUACAUCUCGAUUCAUCUUGGUUUGAUUAGAAUGACAAGGAAGCUGUCAUAUUCCCAAACAGGAAAACUGGGAUCACCUGAUU